GUAGCUCAUCAGCCAGCUGAGAAACUCCAAUUAAUCCUACUUCUCUGAAACCAUAUGUGGUGAUGUUUCAAACAGACUCGGAGACCGUUUCGUAGAGCAUCUGCUAUUGAUUCAUAUCAGUGGAGGGUGAAUGACGAGAGAAUAUUCUCCAAUCAGAAGAUGCUACCAGACCUGCUGUGCUUUUCCAGCAACUGCUGUUUUUGAUCAUGGUGAUGUCAUUGGCCAUUUUGGGUGGGAAACAGCUUAGUCCACCCUUACUGCCUGCAGAUUGAACACCUCCUUAAUAAAGCUCCUGCUGUUGUUAAACA